rnacentral:rRNA from 1 species
AAGUCAGAUGUGAAAGCCUUAGGCUUAACCGGCAAAGUGCAUUUGAAACUGGGAGACUUGAGUGCAGAAGAGGAGAGUGGAACUCCAUGUGUAGCGGUGAAAUGCGUAGAUAUAUGGAAGAACACCAGUGGCGAAAGCGGCUCUCUGGUCUGUAACUGACGCUGAGGUUCGAAAGCGUGGGUAGCAAA